rnacentral:lncRNA from 1 species
UCCAAAACACAAUCUCAUUCAUUAUAUAUCCAAUAGUAGCAGUACAUUAAAUAAGAAAAGGUUAUACAGUUUUAAAGAUAGCUGACAAUUGAGUUUUGAAUAGUUAACAAAAAUUUAAAUAGUUCAAUGGUUUUCUUCACUUUUAGGCCCAUGACUUGUAUUUGAUGAUUGAUGACAAUUGAAGAGUGCAUCAAUCGCAUUAAUAUUGCCGCGCACAACCUAAAAAAAUAUCAAACAAUAUAAAUAUUAUUAAUUAUACUAAAAUACAAAAACUAUUCAGAUAUAUCAUUAGUAAUAACUUUGUUAUCAACUUGAUAUACCUCAGAAUUAAGAACUCUAUCUGAUAGUAGUGCUUUUAAGCAAUCCAUUUCCUCUCGCAUCUGUCUAACUGUAGAAUCACAUCUCUCUAGUAGUCCCACAAGUUAUUUCUUCCCUCACUUGUUCUUCUAAAUAAAAAAUAAAACUUUGGGUUAGUCAAUUUAAAUUAUGACCCAAUCAAAAUAACUCUACUAAACCAAUUCACAUGUACCAACAUGUAACAAAUUA